rnacentral:rRNA from 1 species
GGGGGAUAAAUUAAUAAUAAAAAUAAUAAUAAAAAUAAUUUUAAAUUUAAUAUAUAUAUAUAUAUUUUAAUGGGGGUUAAAGUAUAAUUUAUAGAAAAAAAUUUAAAGUUUUAUAGUGAAUAGUAUUGUAAAAUAAAUUUGAAAUAAAAUAAAAAUAAAUCAUUUAAAAGUAAAUUUAAUUUGUUGUAUCUUGUGUAUCAGAGUUUAUUAAUAAUAUUUUUUAAAAAAAAAAAUCUCGAAUUUAAAGGAGAUAAUUAAUUAUAAAAGUUAUUGUGGCAUAAAUAUUUAAAAUAAUUAAUUAGAAAUGAAAUGUUAAUCGUCUUUUAAUAUAUCUAGUUUUUUUAGAAAUAAAUUUAAUUUAGAAUUUUUUUUUUUAUUUUUAAAGUUAAUAUUAACUUUAAAAAUAAAAAAAUUUAAUAAAUUAAGGGAUAAGCUUUAAUUUAAAUUUUUAUAAUAAAAUUUUAAAUAAAAUAUUAAAAUUUUUAAAAUUUAUAUUGUUUAUAAAUUAUAAUUUUUUAUAAAAAAUUUUAUAAAAUUAUAAAAUUUAAAAUAAUAAUUUAAAUUUUUAUAAAAAAAUAUUUUAUAAUUUAUUAAAAAUAAAUAUAAUGAUAAAAUUAGUAUAAUUAUAAUAUGUGUGUAUAUAUUAUUAAUAAAUUAAAAUUUAAAAAAAAGGAAUUCGGCAAAAAUUUAUAUUCACUUGUUUAUCAAAAACAUGUCUUUUUGAUUAUAAUUUAAAGUCGGAUCUGCCCACUGAUUAAUUAUUAAAGGGCUGCAGUAUAUUGACUGUACAAAGGUAGCAUAAUCAUUAGUCUUUUAAUUGAAGACUUGUAUGAAUGAUUUGAUGAAAUAUAAACUGUCUCUUUUUUAUAAUUAAAAUUUAAUUUUUUAGUAAAAAAGCUUAAAUGAUUUUAAAAGACGAGAAGACCCUAUAGAGUUUUAUAUUUAAAUAUUAUUUUUAUUUUUUAUUAAAUUAUUAAUAAAAAUUUAUUUUAAUAUUUUAUUGGGGUGAUAAAGAAAUUUAAUUAACUUUUUUUUUUAAUGACAUUUAUUUAUGAUAAUUUGAUCCAUAAUUUAUGAUUAAAAGAAAAAAUUACCUUAGGGAUAACAGCGUAAUUUUUUUUUUUAGGACAAAUAAAAAAAAAAGUUUGCGACCUCGAUGUUGGAUUAAGAUAAAAUUUAAAUGCAGAAGUUUAAAAUUUUUGAUCUGUUCGAUCAUUAAAAUCUUACAUGAUCUGAGUUCAAACCGGUGUAAGCCAGGUUGGUUUCUAUCUUUAAAUAAUUAAAAUAUUUUAGUACGAAAGGAUUAAAUAUUUAAAAUAAAUUUUAUUAAAAUGAAUUUUAUUAAUUAAUUAAUUAUAAUUA